UAUCAGUAGCGUGAAAAUGAAUGAAUACAAUCACUGGCUAGAAAAAAGUGAAAUUGUAUUCAUUGCUGCCUUUCUGACUUGAGUUUCAGGAGUCAAAGAGAAAAUCAUUAUGAAGAAGGAGCCACAAAACUCUAUAAAAUACUGUAUAUUUGGUUCACUAGUUUGGAUGAUGUUUGAUAAGCAAUAAAUAUGUCAUAUUCCUCUUUUCUAGUUACUUUCCUUCUAGUGGAUGCAAAACUCUACAAAGAUACUGGAAUUCAAGCUCAGCAAAAAAAUAAGCUAUUUUAGUGAAACCCAGGACUUCUGUUAAAGGAAAACCAUGCUGUAAAAUGAAGAAAAAGAUCCUAGGCUUAAGAUCCAUGCCCUACAAAUAUACCUAGGAGAUGGAGAAGGCAAUGUAAUCCAGUGUCUCUAUAAUGUCUCAUAACCAAUAGUACUCAAGAAAUUGUAGAAUGUGCCGGAAUGCAAAAUCCUGAGAUGGGCUGUACUGGUGAGAACGACCUGGGAUCUAUUCUUCUUUCCCUUAGAAGCAGAAUGUACCUCCAGGCUUUAACAGCAUGUCGUGUUGUCCCUGAUGUAUGUUACCCUUGGGUCUGCCCUUCAUGAUCCCUCAGCUGCAGUGCAAGUGGGGCACUCACAGUCAAGACUCCAACCACAUUAAGCUGCUUUCCUCAACCUUGGGAGAGCAGGUCACAAUAAAUCCUAAGCCUCCGUUGUCCUUUGCUGUCUAGUUAUAAGUAAUACAUCCACUUUGUGUAAUUUGUGUGCAUUGGUGUUGUGUCUCACCAGACUCACACAAGUUUGUAAUCAGUGCAUAGUGAAUCUACUUCAUAUAUAAAUAAACUAUUUAAAAUAAAUUUAUAAUAACUCUUGCAUAAUAAAGUAUAAUUUACUUUUUCA